GGUAGCACAGAGAAACUUGCUCUCGGGUGACGAGCGGCGGACGGGUGAGUAAUGUCUGGGAAACUGCCUGAUGGAGGGGGAUAACUACUGGAAACGGUAGCUAAUACCGCAUAAUGUCGCAAGACCAAAGUGGGGGACCUUCGGGCCUCAUGCCAUCAGAUGUGCCCAGAUGGGAUUAGCUAGUAGGUGGGGUAACGGCUCACCUAGGCGACGAUCCCUAGCUGGUCUGAGAGGAUGACCAGCCACACUGGAACUGAGACACGGUCCAGACUCCUACGGGAGGCAGCAGUGGGGAAUAUUGCACAAUGGGCGCAAGCCUGAUGCAGCCAUGCCGCGUGUGUGAAGAAGGCCUUCGGGUUGUAAAGCACUUUCAGCGGGGAGGAAGGCGGUGAGGUUAAUAACCUUGUCGAUUGACGUUACCCGCAGAAGAAGCACCGGCUAACUCCGUGCCAGCAGCCGCGGUAAUACGGAGGGUGCAAGCGUUAAUCGGAAUUACUGGGCGUAAAGCGCACGCAGGCGGUCUGUCAAGUCGGAUGUGAAAUCCCCGGGCUCAACCUGGGAACUGCAUUCGAAACUGGCAGGCUAGAGUCUUGUAGAGGGGGGUAGAAUUCCAGGUGUAGCGGUGAAAUGCGUAGAGAUCUGGAGGAAUACCCGGUGGUGAAAGGCGGCCCCCUGGACAAAAGACUGACGCUCAGGUGCGAAAGCGUGGGGAGCAAAACAGGAUUAGAUACCCUGGUAGUCCACGCCGUAAACGAUGUCGAUUUGGAGGUUGUGCCCUUGAGGCGUGGCUUCCGGAGCUAACGCGUUAAAUCGACCGCCUGGGGAGUACGGCCGCAAGGUUAAAACUCAAAUGAAUUGACGGGGGCCCGCACAAGCGGUGGAGCAUGUGGUUUAAUUCGAUGCAACGCGAAGAACCUUACCUGGUCUUGACAUCCACAGAACUUUCCAGAGAUGGAUUGGUGCCUUCGGGAACUGUGAGACAGGUGCUGCAUGGCUGUCGUCAGCUCGUGUUGUGAAAUGUUGGGUUAAGUCCCGCAACGAGCGCAACCCUUAUCCUUUGUUGCCAGCGGUUCGGCCGGGAACUCAAAGGAGACUGCCAGUGAUAAACUGGAGGAAGGUGGGGAUGACGUCAAGUCAUCAUGGCCCUUACGACCAGGGCUACACACGUGCUACAAUGGCAUAUACAAAGAGAAGCGACCUCGCGAGAGCAAGCGGACCUCAUAAAGUAUGUCGUAGUCCGGAUUGGAGUCUGCAACUCGACUCCAUGAAGUCGGAAUCGCUAGUAAUCGUAGAUCAGAAUGCUACGGUGAAUACGUUCCCGGGCCUUGUACACACCGCCCGUCACACCAUGGGAGUGGGUUGCUAAA
rnacentral:rRNA from 1 species